UGCCCCACCCCGGGCACACGAGGCCUCCACUGCGGUUGCGCAGCCUGCCGAAGAGCGUGCGGCUUCUACUGCGGCUGCGCAAGCUCGACGCGCGCACUCUUGUCUGCUUACGAGGGCUCCUCCCUUCAGCUUUGGUCCCUCGGGGCGUCUGGGCAGCCUACGCUUUCCGGAUAAAAAUGGCAGAAUGAAAGAAUUAUGAGUGGAACUAGAGAAUAGGAAAGACAUGAACCAACGCCCAAAAUGAGAAAGAAGGACAUAUAAAGAAAAAGACAAAUACAAGUGAAAAAAAUAGACUAAUGGAUUAACGUCCCUGUCGUGUGACAUUUUCUGAAGUACAGUCUAUAUAAAGACUGUCCAGGACAAAAACUGGCCACUCCAUUCAGCAUUGACAGCAGUAUUUAAAGCUGGUGCAUGGUGAGGUGAAGUUUCUCAAGGGCAAAGACAAUGCCUUCAUGCAUGUUCAGUGUCUGCCCCCGUGGGCUUUGAAAUGAUCGCUGACAAUGGGGGAUCUGCAGUGACUUCUCUGCCUCUGCCAAAGCCCAGGGGUGCUGCUCCCUAAUUCUAAGGAUUCUAAUGAGACUCAGAGCAGGUGUAACACAGGGCAUGGAGCUUCCUGAGCAAGAGGCUGGCUAACAAACUGUGGACGUGGUACUUAGACACAUUAAGAGACAUUACAGGGACACCUGCAAGUAUGUCUCCCUGGGGAGAAGCCAAGUGCAGAUGCUAUGGCCACAGAUGAUAUGGUUUGGCUCUGUGUCCCCACUCAAAUCUCAUCUCAAGUUGUAAUCCCUGGAUGUCGAGGGAGGGACCUGGUGGGAGGUGAUUGGAUUGGUUCGCAUGAUAGUGAGGGAGUUCUCACGAGAUCUGGUUGUUUGAUAAGUGUCUGGCAUUUCUCCUGUGCUGUCUCUCCUGCCACCUUGUGAAGAAGGUGCCUGCUUCUCCUUCGCCUUCCGCCAUGAUUGUAAGUUUCCUGAGGCCUCCCUAGCAAUGCAGAACUGUGAGUCAAUUAAACUUCCUUUCUUUAUAAAUUACCCAGUCUCGAAUGGUAUCUUUAUACCAAUGUAAGAACAGACUAAUACAGACAGGGACCACAAAGCAAGAAUUUAGGGCCUGAAGAGUCUUCAGCAUUGAAAAUCUUCACUCAGAAUCCCUGGUCCCUGCAUUGAGAGCACUGGGUAGAUCACUGAACUCCCCUGACAACACUGCAAAGUGCUGGGUACCUACGAUGCCACACCCUCUCCUCUGACCUCACAGUGUUAAAGUAAGGGGGCCCAUAGUACACGAUGUUACUGUCAGCAUGCUAUGUGUCGUGACUCAGCAACAGCACAUUCACCAAAGGAGAAACCCCUCCGUCUCUCUAUCUAGGCAGCCAGCCU
rnacentral:lncRNA from 1 species